CCUUCGAUAGCUCAGCUGGUAGAGCGGAGGACUGUAGGUGGUGAUGUGAUGGUGGUGAUCCUUAGGUCGCUGGUUCGAUUCCGGCUCGAAGGA
rnacentral:tRNA from 1 species